AUCACUUCUCGGCCUUUUGGCUAAGAUCCAGUGUAGUAUCUGUUCUUAUCAUUUUAAUAUCUGAUACAUCCUCUAUCCAAGGACAAUAUAGUAAAUGGACUUUUGGAGCAGGGAGUUGAAAAAUACAAUGGCAAUCAUAUUAUAAUAUAUAAAUGUAUCAAAUCAACAUGUUGAACACCU
ensembl:snRNA U2 U2 spliceosomal RNA